rnacentral:rRNA from 1 species
GCCGGGCACUUUAAGGAAACGGCCAGUGAUAAACUGGAGGAAGGUGGGGAUGAAGUCAAGUCAGCACGGCCCUUAUGGGGUGGGCUACACACGUGCUACAAUGGCGACUACAAUAGGUUGCAACGUCGCUAGGCUGAGCUAAUCCGUAAAAGUCGUCUCAGUUCGGAUUGUCCUCUGUAACUCGAGGGCAUGAAGUCGGAAUCGCUAGUAAUCGUGGAUCAGCAUGCCACGGUGAAUACGUUCUCGGGUCUUGUACACACUGCCCGUCACGCCAUGGGAAUUGGCUUAACUCGAAGCUGGUGCGCCAACCGUAAGGAGGCAGCCAUUUAAGGUUGGGUCGGUGACUGGGGUGAAGUCGUAACAAGGUAGCUGUAGGUGAACCUGCGGCUGGAUCA